UCCGGAGGAGGCAAGCGUUAUCCGGAAUUAUUGGGCGUAAAGCGUCCGUAGGUGGCCAUUCAAGUCUGCUGUCAAAGCAUGGAGCUUAACUCCAUAGAGGCAGUGGAAACUGAAUAGCUAGAGUUCGGUAGGGGUAGCGGGAAUUCCCAGUGUAGCGGUGAAAUGCGUAGAGAUUGGGAAGAACAUCGGUGGCGAAAGCGCGCUACUGGGCCGAAACUGACACUGAGGGACGAAAGCUAGGGGAGAGAAAGGG
rnacentral:rRNA from 1 species